GACGAACGCUGGCGGCGUGCUUAACACAUGCAAGUCGAACGGAGAGGCCCCUUUGGGGGUACUCGAGUGGCGAACGGGUGAGUAACACGUGAGUAACCUGCCCUUGACUUCGGGAUAACUUCAGGAAACUGGGGCUAAUACCGGAUAGGAAUCCUUGCUGCAUGGUGGGGGUUGGAAAGCUUCGGCGGUUUUGGAUGGACUCGCGGCUUAUCAGCUUGUUGGUGGGGUAGUGGCUUACCAAGGCUUUGACGGGUAGCCGGCCUGAGAGGGCGACCGGCCACAUUGGGACUGAGAUACGGCCCAGACUCCUACGGGAGGCAGCAGUGGGGAAUAUUGCACAAUGGGCGGAAGCCUGAUGCAGCAACGCCGCGUGGGGGAUGACGGCCUUCGGGUUGUAAACUCCUUUCGCUAGGGACGAAGCUUUUUGUGACGGUACCUAGAUAAGAAGCACCGGCUAACUACGUG
rnacentral:rRNA from 1 species